UGGUAGAGCAGCUACCUUUCGUGGG
rnacentral:piRNA from 1 species